rnacentral:rRNA from 1 species
GGGGAAUCUUCCGCAAUGGGCGAAAGCCUGACGGAGCAACGCCGCGUGAACGAUGAAGGUCUUAGGAUCGUAAAGUUCUGUUGUUAGGGACGAAGGGUAAGAAUCAUAAUAAGGUUUUUAUUUGACGGUACCUAACGAGGAAGCCAGGGCUCACUACGUGCCAGCAGCCGCGGUAAUACGUAGGCGGCAAGCGUUGUCCGGAUUUAUUGGGCGUAAAGCGAGCGCAGGCGGAAGAAUAAGUCUGAUGUGAAAGCCCUCGGCUUAACCGAGGAACUGCAUCGGAAACUGUUUUUCUUGAGUGCAGAAGAGGAGAGUGGAACUCCAUGUGUAGCGGUGGAAUGCGUAGAUAUAUGGAAGAACACCAGUGGCGAAGGCGGCUCUCUGGUCUGCAACUGACGCUGAGGCUCGAAAGCAUGGGUAGCGAACA